UCUCAGUUCGGAUCGCAGGCUGCAACCCGCCUGCGUGAAGUUGGAAUUGCUAGUAAUCGCGCAUCAGCCACGGCGCGGUGAAUACGUUCCCGGGCCUUGUACACACCGCCCGUCAAGCCAUGGAAGCCGGGAGUGCCUGAAGUACGCGACCGCAAGGAGCGUCCUAAGGUAAAACCGGUGACUGGGGCUAAGUCGUAACAAGGUAGC
rnacentral:rRNA from 1 species